rnacentral:lncRNA from 1 species
AGAUCUGGCGACUUGUUUAAAUUUCAUCAGCCUCACUUCUAUGAACUCUCAGAGCUGAUUACCAACUCCUACCACUGUUAACCCUCAUCCAGGAACAAGCUUAUGUCUUUAACAUUCUGAGUGGGCUUCAGCAUCCUUGCAUAUGUUCAAUUCUUAAAAACCUGUUGAAAUAAAAGAUCAGGAGACAUAGGAAGGAUGCCAGAAGAGAGCGUGGCCUCACGUGUACCAGCUCUCUGCUCUCCUUUGCCUUGGGACGUUCCAUCCCUGGAAGUUUCCCUGCCCACAUCUUUGUAGAGAGUCCAUUCUCCAAGCUUCAGUGUGUCAUCUGUGAGGACCGUGACCCACCUGGUACAUCGCCUCAGGGCAUUCAUUUCAGGCUCCUUCUAAAUGGCCAAGGCACCCUUGGAAAUGCAAUGCUACAUCUCAAUGGGAUUUUCCAGUACAAAGAUUCUUUUCAAAUAACAUAAUUGUGGAUACACACCACUCCUACAGUGCUGCACUGAUGAGGAAACUGAAACAGAAAAUCCAGAGUAAAUUCCACCAGGCCACACAGCAAGGUCUGAUAGAGCCAGGAGAGACUUUAUGAAAUCCAGACUCUCACACUAAUGCUCUAUCAGCUAGACCUCCAUGUGAGUCUCCCCAAUGUAGGUAGGAAGUGCUUUCCC